rnacentral:rRNA from 1 species
AUUGAACGCUGGGGGCAUGCCUUACACAUGCAAGUCGAACGGCAGCACGGGGCAACCUGGUGGCGAGUGGCGAACGGGUGAGUAAUGCAUCGGAACGUGCCAUUGAGUGGGGGAUAACGUAGCGAAAGUUGCGCUAAUACCGCAUAUUCUGUGAGCAGGAAAGCAGGGGACCGCAAGGCCUUGCGCUCUUUGAGCGGCCGAUGUCAGAUUAGCUAGUUGGUGAGGUAAAGGCUUACCAAGGCGACGAUCUGUAGCGGGUCUGAGAGGAUGAUCCGCCACACUGGAACUGAGACACGGUCCAGACUCCUACGGGAGGCAGCAGUGGGGAAUUUUGGACAAUGGGCGCAAGCCUGAUCCAGCCAUGCCGCGUGAGUGAAGAAGGCCUGUGUA